UAAUUUUUGCUGUUGCUGUUGUUUAUUAGUCCAAUAAGGGGAAAUUCUGGGCGGUCGUUUAAUCCGGAGCAGGAGUUAUGCAGACACUCAGCAGUCACAAUCUUCAAUCACUUUUUCUGAGAUAUAUUUAUCGGUUAACAGCUCGAUAAGUUAUCGCUGCAAUAAACACUGUCAACUCGGAACAAAUUGGAACGAGGGAAAAGCCGUUUCACACUCUACAACUAUCCACCUAUCUCCAAUUCCCGAGAAUUUCUCUCACUCUUUCUUACACACUGUGAAGGGCGAAUUGCAACUCACUCGGUUAUUGACGACAAUCAAAAUUGCAGAGUGGAGUAUUUUGCCAGUGUUGAAUACAAUUAGAGAUUCCCAGGGGGAUGGUCUUGCACAUGAGAGAAGAAAGGGAGCAAGGGCGAUUGAAUGAUAAUUAUCCGCAAGACAACUUGUGCCGACAACUUUAACUGUCGAAAUUAAUGAAUGAGUUGCACUUUGAAGGGGUCGAAAGGGAAGGAGUGACUUUGCCCUGCAGGACCUUGCAGUUUUUUAAUAAAUUCCACUGUCAAACUUGUUUCGUUCCGCUCCUUCAUGAACCGUUAGCUUGUUGCAGCCCCUCUGGAUCGUUUGAUUUUCAUAAUACAUGCCAGAAAUGCCAUCUCAGGAGUUAUAUGUACAAAAAUAUUACCCCGAUGAUGAUGCUGAUGAUGAUGAUGAUGAGGAAAAAAUAAGGAACGAAUGGACAGAGGCCAGUGAGAGGGAAGAGGUGUUGGUGGCUCUCCAGAAGAAUUUUAAAGGUUAUCCGGUGAUGGGUCGUGACAUUAAUUGGUACCUAACCUUCUUCAGGAGUGACCCUAUUCGUUACAACCUCUUUCUCUGGAUGUACACAUUCAUAUUGACAUUCAGCACACUUCGAGUGAUUAUCGCCGUUAUUCUCAUCAUCCAGUACCACGCCUCAUUACUCAUCAUAUGCUCCCACUCGUGACACAAUUCAAAGAUAGAGGAAGGCACGUUCAAUAUGGAAAAUUCCGGCGAGAAAUUAUAACUGUCAUCCAAAACGACUCUCCACCUCCCAGAGACAUGACAUAUUCAAUGAAAUUCUCUACAGAUCCAGCAACUAAAAAUUACUUAAUUGUAUGUAAUUAAAGUAUG